rnacentral:lncRNA from 1 species
AGGAGCGGCCUGGCUUUGUCUGAGUCAGGCAGCCCAGCGUGUGGGAUGCCAGGCUGGAUGUGCUGGGCCUGACCAGCCGCCCGCUUUCCUCUUCUCUUGCCUCUGCCUGCCCCCUGGUGGACAGCUGGGGUAAAGCAUGGGAGUGCGCCUUUGGGGUCUCAGUGGGGCUGAAAUACGACUCCUCCCCUAGGACAGCCUGCCUUCCCCAGCCUUGUUCUCCGGCAAAGUCAAUUUCCUGGAGAAUCGAGGCUCUGCCUCAGAUGUUCGGAGCCUCCGCAGGAUGAACACCUCCAUUUCAAUUCCAGGGGCUUUGAUCAACCUGUGCCUCCCUUGAUCCCCAACUUGUGGGCACCUUCCCUUGAGCAGUGCCCCCACGAGGUACACCUUUCCCGGGAAACAAAAAUCAUUCCUUCUUUGGGUCCUGCAAGCUGUAAAGAACCAAUACAGCACUGUGCUACUGAACAUGUUGCCACUAUAGAAGCCCCUUGUGUUUUGAAGAGUACAUCUCUAUAGCCAUUCGUUUAUUCAUCAGAAACCAGCUAGAAGCCAGGCCCUGUGCUGGGCGCUGGAGACAUGGAAGAAACUGGGCUGAGGCUCCCGCCUUGAAGAGCUUGUGGCCCAGGGAAGGGACAGUUCAUCUGUCAUUGAUUGCCACGUGACAGUGUCUAUGAUGCUAAAAAGAUGCCAGUGCUGUGCUGCAGGAGCAAAGGCCGUGGAGGAAGAGGCUUUGGCUUUGUUGCGAGUCCUUGCCAGAGCCAGGCAAAGCCAGUCACCGCUUUGUUCAGAUGACUCAGGUAAAUAAAUGAGGCCGCACAGGCUGUCCUGACACCACACACCUCUAGAAUACCCUGGCUGUGCUGGGAGCUAUUGGUGUCAGCUGAGUAUUUUCAUCCCUGUCCAAGUCACAAUGAUCUGACUGUACCAGCCUGUGUGGAUGUUGCUAAGAGGAGGCAGACAGCACCAUGAGCUCCCUUAGAUGACGAUCGGCAUGAUGUUCCUGCUGUGGCAGCGCUCAGCUCUUGCCAAUGCUCUUCUCUGCUUUGCUCACUUUAAGCCUCCCUUAAUUUUUUUGAAGCCCAGUUUCCACAUUGCUGAUUCACAGAUAUGCAAGACUCAGGCAGGAAAAAAAAAAGACUUCUUAGAGGACUUGGAAAGAAAAUGAAAUGACGUUGAACGAAAUCAAAGUAAAUUGAGUGAUCUGAAACGAUUUGAUGUCAGCAAGAAUUCCCCAUACAGCUCACAGCCCUACCCCGAGCACGCCUCCCUCUUGGGUAUGCUCUCUGCAGGCCCAAACCUUGCAGAAGCCAUUCCAUGUUUCCUGAGCAGGAAAAGACAAACUCAGACCGACAACCUUGGACUUCAAAAGACUGCACACAAGGGGAGGAAGGACUGAGAGUACCAAGGCGUGAGAAUUCAGAAUGCUGCUAUCUCAUUUAUUUUUACCAUUUAGGAAACGUUUUGAUCUGCAUUCCUUUUCCCUUCCCUGAUUUCAAAAAAUAAAAAUAAAAAUGCUUCGGUUCUGAGGAGUAACUCUCCAGAUGGAAGGGGAAGAUCAGGGGAUGAAUGGGGGAGGGCUGCUUGCGUCCUCUCCCCUGCCACACACACGCUCUCUGUUUCAGCCAGUGUAAAAAUAGCCGCCCAGGUUUAUGUAUUCAUCCCUAAGCUGCAAUGAAGCGCCUGCCUCCCGGCCAGAGUCCGCUGCCUUUUAGUAGCUUAUAACAUCAGGUGACGCCUCCAGCCCUCCCAUUCCCCGCCCCAGCCCGGAUAAACGUCCUCCGUGACCUUAGAAGUUUUCAGUUUAAUCAGCGGUAUCGUUUUUGAGAGGAAAAUCCUCCCAGCUUUGCGGGCUGGCAGGGCUCUGGGGCCCUCCCCUGCCUCCCAGCCCAGGCCGCAGAGCGAGAGCGUUUCCAUCUGUGCUGCGAGCGGGAAGAGCCUCUCUGUGCUCCCCGGCACGUCCAGCGCGCGGGCGGGAACACGCUCUCCUGUGGGGGGCAGCUUUCCCAGGGACCUUGCCUAACGAGGGCCAGGCGGCUCCCCCGUGGGCCCCGAAUGGCUCCUGGCAGGCAGACCCCUAUCCCUGUCGAGAGCACUGAUUUCCCCAGCGUCGGGGGAGGCAGCCGCGCCCUCCUGGAGCGAGGCAAUCCAGCGGUCAGGCGGCGGCGAGGGCCUGCGCGUGCGCAGAAAAGAGCUGCCUCCGCGCCAGGCAAGGGGCGCGAGGGCGGAGGAUGGAGGGCGAGGGCGCAUGCGUCAGCCGUGCCGCUGGGGCCGCGUAGGAGAGCUGAGCUGCUGGGUCCUGCCGUCAGUGCAGUUUCUUGGCAGCACGUUGGGGACACUGCGCCAUGAGAACAGAGCCACAGAAUGUUAAAGGCACAGCCUCCUUCGAGGGCAUUUGCAUAAUGCCUCCCGUUUACAGAUGAGGAAAUUGAGGCCCAAAGAGGUGAUGGGAAAGGCCCAAAGCUGCAUUUCUGGCUUCUGGCAGCUGGGACCAGAUCCAGCUCGUAUUGACAUGGUUUAAGCACUUCUUCAAUGAGCACUUAUCAAAAGCCUAGAUACUGUGUACUCAGUGUCUUGAGUGGCAGCGAAAGAUAACCACGAAUACGUCAGAAGCAGUGUAGCCACGGCUGCCCUGGAUUUGGGCAUAGAAUCAGACAGACCUGGGUUUGAUAUGAUGAUUUCCAGAACCACACUACUAGUUGGAUGGCCUUAGUGAAGCAGUUAACCGCUCCAUGCCCUAGCUUUCUGGUCUGCAAAACGGAGAUAAAAAUAGGCUAGGGUCGUGGGAUUUAAAUGAGAUAAGGUGCACAUUGUUUAGCACAGUGCCUGCGCAUGGAAGGCUCUCAAAUAAAUAUUCGUGCAAUGUUUUGAGAAGUAGAAAGUGCUAGGCACGUAGGCGUUCAGGAGACAGUCACGGUACUCGUUUCCAGACAGAAGUCAUGAGGAACAAGAGGGAAGGUGCUUUCCCGUGUGCAGCGCUUGGGGAGACUCACACAGACAGAGGAUCUGGCAUGACAGGGAAAGGAGGAAAUGGCUUCUGUUAAUCUCUCCUUCAGCUUCUCCCGCCCUUCCCAUGCACUCUUCCUGUUUCCCUUUCCAGUUCUCACGGUGACUCAAGGAACAACGUGUGAAAUGAAAGACCUCAGGUGCUGUAUUGGCUCUUGACAGCUCUUCAGAAGAAAAUACCUCCUGCCUGUUCUGUUCAGUCCUGGUGCAGGUGGUCCUGGACAACACUUUGAAAAAUGCUGGGGCAGAAACAAGCCAGCAAGCAUAUGGGAUUCAUCUGCUGUGAGUGAUAAUUUAUCUAGUUUCUAAAAAUAGUGUUAUAGGCUGGACUGUGUCCCCUUCCUGUGCCCCGCCGCCAUGCAUAUAUGGACGCCUAGUACCUCAGAAUGUGACUGUAUUUGGAAACAGGGCCUUUGAAGAAGUAAUUAAGUUAAAAUGAGGUCAUUAGGGUGGGCAGUAAUACAGUAUAACUGGUGUCCUUAUAAGAAGAGAUUAGGACACAGAUGCACACAGAGGGAAGACCAUAUGAACACAGAGGGAGAAGACAGCCACCUGCAAGCCACAGAGAGAGCCCUUCAAAGAAACCAACCCUGCAGACAAUUUGAUCUCAGGUUUCUGGCCUCCAGAAUUGUGAGAAAAUAAAUUUCUGUUGUUUAAGUCACCCAGUCUGUGGUAUUUUGUUAUGGCGGCGAAGCUAACGAACACAAACAGAAGGCUGAUUUCACUUAAUAAUCAUCUCAGAAGGCAGAGAUUGCUUCAAACUAUUGCAUAAACAAGGCUGGUUUGUGAACCAAAGGACAUGAGCCCCAAACCUGGAGUCGCAGAGGCAGCAUGACA